AGUGAACGCUGGCGGUAGGCUUAACACAUGCAAGUCGAACGGCAGCACAGUAAGUGCUUGCUCUUACGGGUGGCGAGUCGCGGACGGGUGAGGCACACAUCGGAAUCUACUUUUUCGUGGGGGAUAACGUAGGGAAACUUACGCUAAUACCGCAUUCGACCUCCUGUUGAAAGCAGGGGAUCUUCAAGCCUUGCGCGAAUGAAGGAGUCGACGUCGGAUUUGUUAGUUGGCGGGGUAAAGGCCCACCAAGGCGACGAUCCGUAGCUGGUCUGAGAGGAUGAUCAGCCACACUGGAACUGAGACACGGUCCAGACUCCUACGGGAGGCAGCAGUGGGGAAUAUUGGACAAUGGGCGCAAGCCUGAUCCAGCCAUACCGCGUGGGUGAAGAAGGCCUUCGGGUUGUAAAGCCCUUUUGUUGGGAAAGAAAAGCAGCAGGUUAAUACCCCGCUGUUCUGACGGUACCCAAAGAAUAAGCACCGGCUAACUUCGUG
rnacentral:rRNA from 1 species